UUGUCAUUUUCAUUUACAAUUCUGUCAUUUCACCGACAUUGUCAAUAAGUCGUGGCCGCAGACUUGCUGAGUGCCAAAUCCAUUUCCAUACACCUCAGACCGCAAAAAAAUACCAAAAUGACUACCAAAUUACAAGAGUACAAGGACACUAUAGAGCGAAGUUUGAACGACAAGGGCAAGCCUUGGACGAAAUUCUUCGAAACGGCCGAAGCGAAGACCGGCGUGAACAGGGUCUACAUAUUUGUCGGCUUGGUAGCGUUCACGGGGUUAUAUUUAGUGUUUGGAUUCGGCGCGGAACUGAUAUGCAACAGUAUAGGAUUCCUGUACCCUGCGUAUAUGUCUAUGAAGGCCCUGGAGUCGCCUGCCAAGGACGACGAUACGAAGUGGCUCACAUAUUGGGUCGUUUUCGCCUGUUUCUCCAUCGUUGAAUACUUUUCUGACUUCAUUGUUGGCUGGUUUCCGCUCUAUUGGUUAAUCAAGUGCAUCUUCGUGAUCUGGUGCUACCUGCCAACCGACUACAACGGCUCGCUGAUCAUCUACAACCGCAUCAUCCGCCCCUACUACCAGAAGCACCACGGCCGCAUCGACGACCUCGCCAAUUCAGAUAUCCUGAAAGAAUUGGUGCAAAACGCCAACAAGCACAUGGAUAAAACUGUUGGUGCUUUGAACAAAAAGCUCUCCGAGCUUCAUAAAGAUUAGGUUGGAUUAGCUUGGUAGGAUCCGGUAAACAAGAAUAAAGCUGUACACACAUAGAUCAAUAUCCACGCGCUUGGUAGCGGAUGCAGUUAGGAAGAACAAUUAAAGCCUCAACAUGCAAUUUUUCAUAUAUCGGAGGAUCAAAAGUACAAAACAUCCGCUGCACUCGCUUUGUACCGCUUCGGAGCACUCAUUGGACGCUAAAUGAAAUUAAAAAAACUGAAAAUCCAUAGACAAAA